CGGAUGCUGAAGACUCCCUUACUAUUUUUCUCCUCAAGCAUCAACCAGGUUUUAGCCGUUUAUAUCGGGGUAUAAUUCGUGGAGGAAAUGGUUCUCAGUCCUGGCUCUUGGGGUCCAAGGGGCCAACACAUCAGCAGUGCAGGACAAGGCCCUCUUUAGCGCUGCAUGGCCAGGGACACACUAACGAUGAUGAAGCAAGCUGUGGCGCAGAGUGACCUUGUUUGCGGGCCCGCCAGGUGCGGCUCCUCCGCCUGACUCUUAAUUCUAAGAAAACGCAGGGCAGAAUCUACUGACGUCUCAAGUUUUUCCCUCCUACGCUCAAGGAAAUGAGGACGAAGCUCGGAUUCAUUAGAAAACCACGUCAGGCAGACACGGAUGGGCACAAGGCUCGCCGCACCUGCCGCUCCAGGGUAGCGGUGCGUUCUCUAUAAGCGCAUCCGAUCUGGGGCCCCCCAACCAGUGGCUCCCGCACACACAGGCCGCGCCAAGCGCACAUUCCCCACCUCCGGGAGAGCUGAAUCCUGCUGAGUCACCCACCACGCAGGUUGCGCUUUCGAGAUGCCAAAGAAUUCUCCUAGUCUGGUGGCCCUACCUAUCCUGCCUGGCUACUCUCCAAUCAGCAUUUUACUAAACCAAUGAGAGUGACAAAUCUUUACAUUGAAGAAGACCAUCAUCCCACAUCGUUACCACAGUCAAACAGAAAAGCAACUUGCAGUAUCAUUUAGCAAAAGGAACUCUACAAACAUGGCACAGUUGAAGGAACUCAAGACACCUUAAUGCUCUCCUGCUUUGGAGGUAAUCAGUAUAGCUAGAGGAAAUAAUAAUUUCAUAAAGAACAGAUGAAUAGCUGGCAUGGUGGAGUACGCCUUUAAUCUUGGCACUCAGGAGAUUAGAGGGAUGGCAAGGGGGACAACGUGGGAGAGACUAAAACUGAGAGUCAGAAGUGGAGAGAAGAACUGGUCCAAAAGCAGUGGAGAUACCGUCCAUUAAUUGAUGAAAUGUCUGAAACCAGGAGACAACCUAAACCCUUCCUCCUUGGGCAUUGAUUACCUCGGAUAGCUUGCUAUGGAUUUAGAUAUCCAAUACAAAAUACAGCAUCAAAAUUCAAGGGUCAGAAGAUACAGGGUUGACUUCAAGGAGGAACAGGGAGUGGUCAACAGCAGACUGAAGAUCCAGAAACGUCAAGGAGGGUCUGACUCCUGUCCAAAGGCCAGUGUGAAGACCAGAAGGAGCUGGUGCUGAAAUUGAAGCCCAAAGGCCAUCUGCUAGAGAAUGCCUCGUACACAGAGGAAGACAGUUGCUACUAUUCUUUUGGCCUUCGGAUUUUGAAUGAAUGUCACCCAAAAUAUAAAUAGACUGUCUCUCCUG